rnacentral:rRNA from 1 species
GACGAACGCUGGCGGCGUGCUUAACACAUGCAAGUCGAACGGUAAGGCCCCAGCUUGCUGGGGUACACGAGUGGCGAACGGGUGAGUAACACGUGGGUGACCUGCCCCGCACUUCGGGAUAAGCCUGGGAAACUGGGUCUAAUACCGGAUAGGACCGCACCGUGAGGGUGUGGUGGAAAGUUUUUCGGUGUGGGAUGGGCCCGCGGCCUAUCAGCUUGUUGGUGGGGUAAUGGCCUACCAAGGCGGCGACGGGUAGCCGGCCUGGGAGGGUGGACGGCCACAUUGGGACUGAGACACGGCCCAGACUCCUACGGGAGGCAGCAGUGGAGAAUAUUGCACAAUGGGCGGAAGCCUGAUGCAGCGACGCCGCGUGGGUGAUGACGGCCUUCGGGUUGUAAACUCCUUUCACCAUCGACGAAGGUUUUCUGACGGUAGAUGGAGAAGAAGCACCGGCUAACUACGUG